rnacentral:rRNA from 1 species
UACGAAGGGAGCUAGCGUUGUUCGGAAUCACUGGGCGUAAAGCGCACGUAGGCGGAUUUGCCAGUCAGGGGUGAAAUCCCGGGGCUCAACCUCGGAACUGCCUUUGAUACAGCAAGUCUUGAGUUCGAGAGAGGUGGGUGGAAUUCCUAGUGUAGAGGUGAAAUUCGUAGAUAUUAGGAAGAACACCGGUGGCGAAGGCGGCCCACUGGCUCGACACUGACGCUGAGGCGCGAAAAGCUAGGGGAGCAAACGGGG